UCUUCGGAGAGUUUGAUCCUGGCUCAGGAUGAACGCUGGCGGCGUGCCUAAUACAUGCAAGUCGAGCGAACUGAUUAGAAGCUUGCUUCUAUGACGUUAGCGGCGGACGGGUGAGUAACACGUGGGCAACCUGCCUGUAAGACUGGGAUAACUUCGGGAAACCGAAGCUAAUACCGGAUAGGAUCUUCUCCUUCAUGGGGGAUGAUUGAAAGAUGGUUUCGGCUAUCACUUACAGAUGGGCCCGCGGUGCAUUAGCUAGUUGGUGAGGUAACGGCUCACCAAGGCAACGAUGCAUAGCCGACCUGAGAGGGUGAUCGGCCACACUGGGACUGAGACA
rnacentral:rRNA from 1 species